rnacentral:rRNA from 1 species
UACGGAGGAUGCGAGCGUUAUCCGGAUUUAUUGGGUUUAAAGGGUGCGUAGGCGGUCCGGAAAGUCAGCGGUAAAAGCCCGGGGCUCAACCCCGGCGAGCCGUUGAAACUGGGGAUCUUGAGUGGGCGAGAAGUAUGCGGAAUGCGUGGUGUAGCGGUGAAAUGCAUAGAUAUCACGCAGAACUCCGAUUGCGAAGGCAGCGUACCGGCGCCCAACUGACGCUGAAGCACGAAGGCGUGGGUAUCGAACAGG